rnacentral:tRNA from 1 species
ACCUGGGUGGCUCAGUCGGUUAAGCGUCUGACUUGGGCUCAGGUCAUGAUCUCACAGUUCGUGGGUUCGAGUCCCACGUCAGGCU